rnacentral:rRNA from 1 species
UACAAAGGGUGCGAGCGUUAAUCGGAAUUACUGGGCGUAAAGCGCGCGUAGGCGGCUUUGCAAGUCGGGUGUGAAAUCCCCAGGCUUAACCUGGGAACUGCAUUCGAGACUGCAUUGCUAGAGUAUGGGAGAGGGAAGUGGAAUUUCCGGUGUAGCGGUGAAAUGCGUAGAUAUCGGAAGGAACAUCAGUGGCGAAAGCGACUUCCUGGACCAAUACUGACGCUCAUGUGCGAAAGCCGUGGGGGAGCAAACAGG